UACGUAGGUGGCAAGCGUUUGUCCGGAAUUAUUGGGCGUAAAGCGCGCGCAGGCGGUUCCUUAAGUCUGAUGUGAAAGCCCCCGGCUCAACCGGGGAGGGUCAUUGGAAACUGGGGACUUGAGUGCAGGAGAGGAAAGCGGAAUUCCACGUGUAGCGGUGAAAUGCGUAGAUAUGUGGAGGAACACCAGUGGCGAAGGCGGCUUUCUGGUCUGUAACUGACGCUGAGGCGCGGAAGCGUGGGGAGCAAACAGG
rnacentral:rRNA from 1 species